rnacentral:rRNA from 1 species
UACGGGGGGGGCAAGCGUUGUCCGGAUUUAUUGGGCGUAAAGAGCUCGUAGGCGGCUCGGUAAGUCGGGUGUGAAACCUCCAGGCUCAACCUGGAGACGCCACUCGAUACUGCCAUGGCUAGAGUCCGGUAGAGGAGCGUAGAAUUCCUGGUGUAGCGGUGAAAUGCGCAGAUAUCAGGAGGAAUACCAGCGGCGAAGGCGGCGCUCUGGGCCGGAACUGACGCUGAGGAGCGAAAGCGUGGGGAGCAAACAGG